UUUUAGCCCUGAUAGUAGCGGAAAUAUUUUGCUGUUUUUCCUUGAUUUUGUUGGCAAAAAAAAGCGACCAACGGAAGCUCUUUUUUUGACUUACAAAAUCUGUAAAAACAGCAAAAUAUUGAAGCGGAUAGCAGGAUUAGCU
rnacentral:sRNA from 1 species